rnacentral:tRNA from 1 species
GCCGCGAUGGCACAAUCUGGUACUGCGCAGGAUUGCUAAUCCUGUUUCCGAAAGGAUAUCUGGGUUCAAAGCGCUUUCAUUAGUGGCAGAAAUUGCUAUACGAUGAGUGAAAGUCCCAGUCGCGGCG